AGCAAAAAAUCCUCAAUGACAUUCGAUUUCAAGGCAGUCAAGACACCCCUGAAAGGAAUUUCAACAGUCCUGAAAAGGUAGCUGAAAUAGGCUUCUAAUUAUAAAUUCUAAGCCAGCUCUUCUUAUACCAGGAAAGAGGUGCUGGGGCACUGAAUCUGUAAGCACCUAGAUGAGAAUUACAUAGUCAUUAAAACAACCCCACCAAUAUCCAAUAAUCAAGAUCUGCUAACUUCUUGUUUCUACGGCAUUAUUCCCAGAAGCCCUGCAGCACAAGAUGCCCUUCCUGUUCUUACAGGAAUCACUCUUCUCCCUCGGCCAUCUCUAGACGUGGGUCUCUCAUUCCAGUUUUCCUCUGCAGGUGUUGUAUCAUAUAUUUGGAUGUCAAAAAGACUAUCGCUGCAAGUGGCACCAUAGCCAAAAUGACUGCAAUAUCAGGACGUCAAUUCAUCAAGACUGCGGAGAAGCAGAGGCAUAUGUUCUGACUACUCUCCAUUGAUUGGUCAGCUGCUGUUUCCAUAGCAAUCUAUGUACAGCUCAGAUAUUUUUUUUCUUUCCUACCCUGCAUUAUCUCCAUUACAUAGCAAAGAACAUCACGAUUAAUAAACAG